rnacentral:pre_miRNA from 1 species
UGAGGUAGUAGAUUGUAUAGUUGUGGGGUAGUGAUUUUACCCUGUUCAGGAGAUAACUAUACAAUCUAUUGCCU